rnacentral:rRNA from 1 species
CGUANCAAAUACGUUCCUGACGACCGCCGAACGGGUGAGUAAUCCUUCGGAAUCUGCCUCGUAGUGGGGAAUAACUAGCCGAAAGGUUAGCUAAUGCCNCAUACGACCCCUUUUCUUAUCGGAAUUGGGUGAAAGCGGGGGAUCGCAAGACCUCGCGCUAUGAGAUGAGCCGAAGUCGGAUUAGCUAGUUGGUGAGGUAACGGCUCUCCAAGGCGACAAUCCGUAGCUGGUCUGAGAGGACGACCAGCCACACUGGGACUGAGACACGGCCCAGACUCCUACGGGAGGCAGUAGUGGGGAAUAUUGGACAAUGGGGGCAACCCUGAUCCAGCGACGCCGCGUGUGUGAAGAAGGCCUGCGGGUUGUAAAGCACUUUUAGUGGGGACAAAAAGCUCAGGGCUAAUACCCCUGGGUCUUGAUUUA